CCACGGCCAGGGUGGUUUCCGCAAGGGAUAGGCCUGGAUGCUCCAGCCGGAGGUGAGCAUAUAAAAAACACCGGCAGCC
rnacentral:sRNA from 12 species